rnacentral:rRNA from 1 species
UACGGGGGGGGCAAGCGUUGUUCGGAAUUACUGGGCGUAAAGGGCUCGUAGGCGGCCAACUAAGUCAGACGUGAAAUCCCUCGGCUUAACCGGGGAACUGCAUCUGAUACUGGAUGGCUUGAGUUCGGGAGAGGGAAGCGGAAUUCCGGGUGUAGCGGUGAAAUGCGUAGAUAUCCGGAGGAACACCGGUGGCGAAGGCGGCUUCCUGGACCGACACUGACGCUGAGGAGCGAAAGCGUGGGGAGCGAACAGG